AGAAAGCUAGUCUAACUAAGACAGCUGGUUUCGGCCCAGCAAAUUAUAGGUUACACCUAUAGCUUUCUU
rnacentral:tRNA from 1 species